rnacentral:rRNA from 1 species
AGAGUUUGAUCCUGGGCUCAGAAUGAACGCUAGCGAUAUGCUUUACACAUGCGAGUCGAACGAAAUAAAUUUAAGUGGCUUACGGGUGAGUAAUGCCCGGGAACCUUCCUUACAGUUAGGGAUAAUGAGAUCUCAUUUGAGAGAAAAUUCCUUUUUGGAAUAAUAAAAAUACCUAAUAUAAAAAAGAUUAAUCGCUGUAAGAUGGGCCCGGGUAGGAUUAGGUAGUUGGUGAGGUAAAGGCUUACCAAGCCGAAGAUCCUUAGUUGAUCUGAGAGGAUGAUCAACCACAAUGGGACUGAGACACGGCCCAUCCUCCAGAAGGAGGCAGCAGUGGGGAAUAUUGGACAAUGGGCGAAAGCCUGAUCCAGCAAUAUCGCGUGAAUGAUGUUUAACCAAAAAAAAUUUAGGUUCAAAUGACCAUAAAAUUCUUUCAUCAAGGACUAUAAUGACUGUACUUGAAGAAGAAGUCCCGGCCAACCUCGUGCCAGCAGCCGCGGUAAUACGAGGGGGACUAGCGUUAUUCUUCAUGACUGGGCGUAAAGGGUGUGUAGGCUGUCUAUUAAGUUGAAAUUAAAAAACCAAAGUUUAACUUUGGAAAAGGUUUUAAAACUAAUAUGACUGGAGUGUCACAGAGGAUAGUGGAAUUUUUAGAGGAGUGAUAGAAUAUAGAGAUACUAAAAGGAACGCCAAAGGCGAAGGCAACUAUCUGGGGGAACACUGACGUUGAAACACGAAAGUAUGGGGAGCAAACAGGAUUAGAUACCCUGGUAGUCCAUAGCUGUCAACGAUGAGUGUUUAAUAUUGGAUUCUUUUCAAUUUUUAAGCUAACGCAAUAAACACUCCGCCUGGGAAGUACGACCGCAAGGUUGAAACUCAAAGGAAUUGACGGGGAUUCGCACAAGCGGUGGAGCAUGUGGUUUAAUUCGAUACAACGCGCAAAACCUUACCAGCUCUUGUCUUGUGAAGAGAUAAGAAAAUCCAGAAAUGAAUUUUUGAAGUCAAAUGGAAGAAUCUUUUUUUUAAUUUUUCUUCUCUUCGACUUAGCUUCACACAGGUGUUGCAUGGCUGUCGUCAGCUCGUGUUGUGAGAUGUUUGGUUAAUUCCAUUAACGAGCGCAACCCUUCUUUUUAGUUGCUACAAAAGUUAUUCCACGAAAUAACUUUAAUAAAAUUAGAUUUAUAAGUACUUUAAAAAAACCGCUGACCGAAAGGUUAGAGGAGGGGGAGGAUGACGUCAAGUCCUCAUGGCCCUUAUGAGCUGGGCUACACACGUGCUACAAUGAUGAUUACAAAAGGACGCAAUUAUGCAAUUAUAAGCAAAUCCACAAACAUCAUCUCAGUUCAGAUUGUUCUCUGCAACUCGGGAACAUGAAGUUGGAAUCGCUAGUAAUCGUGGAUCAGCACGCCACGGUGAAUAUGUUCCCGGAUCUUGUACACACCGCCAGUCACACCUUGGAAGUUUAUCUUACCUGAAAUUUUUCUACUAAUAAGAUUUUUAAUAAUAAAGGUAUUUGCGCAAAGUCGUUUUCUUUAUUAUUUAAAUUUCUUAAGGUAGUCAAUGACGGUGGAUUAGUAACUGAGGUGAAGUCGUAACAAGGUAACC